CAUGGCUUUUUGAUAAUAAUUUAAGGUCUGACCUGCCCUAUGAAAUUUAUUUUAAAUGGCUGCGGUAAUUUGACCGUACAAAGGUAGCAUAAUAAUUAGUUUUUUAAUUGGGAACUGGAAUGAAAGGUCGAACGAGAAAAAGACUGUCUCAGAUUAAUUUAAAUUAGAAUUUUAUUUUUAAGUUAGAAAGCUUAAAUAUUUUUAAAAGACGAGAAGACCCUAUAGAGUUUUAUAUACGUGAUAUUUUUUGGAAACUUAAGUAUUAAAAUUUUGAUUAUUAUUAUUUAUAUUUGGUUGGGGCGAUUGAAAAAUUAGAAAAACUUUUUUGAAUAAUUACAACAUUGAUUUAUGAUUUAUUGAUCCAUAUAUUUAUGAUUAUUAGAUUAAAUUACCUUAGGGAUAACAGCGUUAUUUUUUUUGAGAGUUCUUAUCGAAAAAAAAGUUUGCGACC
rnacentral:rRNA from 1 species